GGUACAUCUCAGGAGAGCUGGUCAGAGAGCUAACCAGAAAAGGAGACCUAGGAAAGGAAAACCCUUUCAUUGUAACAUCAAGAUUAAGUUAAACUAAGUCAGCUGCUACAGAGGUUUGACUAAAAAAAGAACCCGGAAAGUGCUGGAAAGAAGUGUAGUGUCACAGAGGAAUUUGAGAUAAGAAAACUGAGGCACAGAAAUCAAGUAACUUGCCCAAGAUCACAUAAGAAGUCUGUUGCACAGUGAGAAAUAGUUCCCCGGUCUCUUGGUUCUCAGACUUAACCACAAGACUAUAUUUCCUCUGCUGAAGUAUGUUUGAAUAAUAUGUUUGUUCCACCUAAUGGAGUCUUCCCGUUCAUUUUGAUAUAUUGCCAUAGAGGAAAUUUGGGCUAAGCAACCAAGUCAGACUUAUAAUGCAUGUGUCCAUUAUUAUUUUAAAAUGUGAUUUUUCUUUAAUGAACAAUGCUGAACUCCUGCUAUUACAAAAGCACUGGACAUUGAAUUCUUAUAUUCAUCCAUGGGCUUAGUGCAGCCUGCAGGCAGUUUCAGUACAUCUCUAUUCUGCCCAUGAUUCAAAUCUGAUCUAUAGAGAUUGUCUUCUUUCUUUCAGUGAGAGAUAAUUCAAUCUACACUGUUGAGCUGGACAGAGAAAUGUGGUCAGUUACGUAUGGAAUUUUGUGCUAUUCAAUUCUGUCCACUAGGGAAUUGGAUAAAACUACAAACUUCAAUCCCUUUAGAAAUCUAUAACACCUCAAAAAUUGGCCUGGAGUCCAAAGCUUCAUGCAGCAAGCUAAACUGGCUCACUCCUCUAUUGCAAACAGUUUGCAUUGGUGAGUUUUAAUACAUUUAUUUAUAUAAAGACAAGGGGUCAGAUCCUCUGCAGGUGUAAAUUGGCAUAACUUCAAUGAUCUCACAGUGCAUGGAGAUAUCACCAAUGUCCAGUCUGCUACUAGUUUAUUGUUCUUUAUGUGUUCAGAACUCAUACGUUUCUGUUGGUUUGCAGAUUGUCUCUGUUCUUAUUGUAGCAACUUCGCAGGGUCUGGAUUUUUUUUUUUUUGACAAUUUUUAUAGAAAAGUAGAAGAUGCAUUGUUUAAUAUUUUUCUCCUCUUGUGGAUGUUAUAGCAACCAAAAAAGAGAGAGAACUAGGUAGAGACAUAUUUUUGGGAUAAGGAGUAUCAGUCAGAAAUGUCUGCUUUGCUCAUUGUGUUUUAACUACAAACAAACCAGGCCUCUUGUUACACUCAGCUGUGGCACCGAUAAAUGAAUACAUUCCUGGGUGAAUGCAACUGAACCUAGAAACUUCUGAUCAGAAUGGAAGAGAAAGUCUGUUGUCAAAAUGAAAAGCAAGAAAAGAAAACCCUUUCCUCUGCUGAACAAUUAAUGCCUCUGAAAUCAGUAACCAAGAGACAGUUGCAAAUGACAGAUUAAAGUAAAUUACUAGAUCCUGACUAAAAACAAAGUUAAACUUUCACCUUUCAUUCACAACCUCCCUAACAUGCAAGUGUUUGGCUUGAGUCAGAUGUUUCAUGGUUCAGCCCAAGGGUAUGCACUGUAGCUCUUUCUUCUUUAAUUAUUGUAGUAUCCGUUUAAUGAUUCUGUGAAUAAGAAAGCUUUUGUCUUGCUAAUCUUCCCCAAGAUAACUGGCAUAUUGUCUUCCUUCUCCUGUUUAUCCUAAGCAGAAAAGGUAUGUAGGGGACUUCAUGCAUAAAGUGCAUGACACUUUCCUUCUUUGAUCUGAUUCCAGUGUACAGAACUAGUUAGGAUGGAAGUGAAACCACUCAAGUGCACUGUACUAACCAAAUAACAGCUUCAGCUUCUGCAAACGGGGGGGGGGGAAGAGAGUGAAUCAAUAGACUUUUUCGUUUUCAUUGUUCUCCUCCAU